AUCGAACGCUGGCGGCAGGCCUAACACAUGCAAGUCGAACGAGUGGCGGACGGGUGAGUAAUGUCUGGGAAACUGCCCGAUGGAGGGGGAUAACUACUGGAAACGGUAGCUAAUACCGCAUACCAUCGGAUGUGCCCAGAUGGGAUUAGCUUGUAGGUGGGGUAACGGCUCACCUAGGCGACGAUCCCUAUCUGGGCUGAGGGGAUGACCAGCCAAACUGGAACGAAGAAACGGUCCAGACUCCAACGGGAGGCAGCAGUGGGAAAUAUUGCACAAUGGGGGCAAGCCUGAUGCAGCCAUGCCGCGUGUAUAAAGAGGGCCUUCGGGUUGUAAGGUACUUUCAGCGAGGAGGCGUUACUCGCAGAGAAAGCACCGGCUAACUCCGUGCCAGCCGCCGCGGUAAUAC
rnacentral:rRNA from 1 species